AGAGUUUGAUCCUGGCUCAGGAUGAACGCUGGCGGCGUGCUUAACACAUGCAAGUCGAACGAGGUCCAUCCAAACUUGUUUGGGGAAGACCUAGUGGCGAACGGGUGCAUAACACGUGAGAAACCUGCCUCAGUCUCUGGGAUAACAGUUGGAAACGACUGCUAAUACCGGAUGCCGUCACACCAUCACAUGUUGGAAUGACGAAAGAUUUAUCGGACUGAGAGGGUCUCGCGGCCUAUCAGCUAGUUGGAGAGGUAACGGCUCACCAAGGCAUCGACGGGUAGCUGGUCUGAGAGGAUGAUCAGCCACACUGGGACUGAGACACGGCCCAGACUCCUACGGGAGGCAGCAGUGGGGAAUCUUGCACAAUGGGCGAAAGCCUGAUGCAGCAACGCCGCGUGCGGGAAGAAGGCCCUAGGGUUGUAAACCGCUUUCAGUAGGGAAGAAAAUGACGGUACCUACAGAAGAAGGUGCGGCCAACUACGUGCCAGCAGCCGCGGUAAUUC
rnacentral:rRNA from 1 species